CCUGAAUUAUUAAAUAUGUACGUUGGUGAGAGCGAACGUGCUGUGCGGCAGGUUUUUCAACGAGCCAAGAACUCAGCACCCUGUGUGAUAUUUUUUGAUGAAGUGGAUGCUUUAUGCCCUCGAAGAUCAGACCGAGAAACAGGUGCUAGUGUUCGAGUGGUGAAUCAGCUGCUUACGGAGAUGGAUGGGUUGGAAACACGUCAGCAAGUUUUUAUUUUGGCUGCCACUAAUAGGCCAGAUAUCAUUGACCCUGCCAUUCUGCGGCCAGGCCGGCUAGACAAAACACUCUUUGUAGGUUUGCCUCCCCCGGCAGACCGUAGUUGCCAUAUUGAAGACUAUCACAAAAAACCAGUGGCAUGGAGGUAUAUGAGUCUUUAACGCCUCAAACAAAACUCACAUCUCGCUCUUAUUCAGAAUGGCACCAAACCUCCACUGGAUGAAGAUGUAAAUUUGGAAGCAAUUGGCAAUGACCUUCGCUGUAAUUGCUAUACGGGUGCAGACCUCUCUGCUUUGGUCCGAGAAGCUUCCCUCUGUGCCCUGAGACAAGAAAUAACAGGACAGAAGAGUGCAGUUGGAACAGGUGAGCUCAAGGUCAGCCAUAAGCAUUUUGAAGACGCUUUCAGGAAAGUAAAACCAUCUAUAUCAAUAAAGGAUCAAAAGAUGUAUGAAGCCCUGCAGAGGUCCCUCAGUCAGUGACAUUUGCAGAACCUGGCAUGGAGGUGUCUAGUGCAUGGAACUCACCAAGAAUCACACUUGCUCUGAAGGGUCUACUUUCAGCCUGACACAGAUGACCUCAUUGUAAGCAUUUUAUUUUCAAAUUAUUGAGGCCAAACUGGAAAAGAUGAUGUUUCCCAUCUGGCCAGCCUUGUUGGGAAAACUCCCUACCUCCUCUCUAAGAAAAAGAAAGAAAAAAGGACUGAUAAAGUAAAGCCUUAUUCAAAUAAAAUUUUAUUUUUAACUAUCUUGAUCAUCCAUAGAAGUUACAAAAAACUGUUUUCCUGAGAAGUGGUCACCUUACAGAUACACAUUCAUAUAGGUUUUAUGUAAACCAGGAUAUUUAUCUACAUAACCAACCAUCAAAAACACUGACACAUUGCUACUAUUUAAUUAUCAAGUUUUAGCUGUCUUUUUCAGCUGCUCUGAUGUCCUUUAUAGUAAAAGAUCUGAUCUAAAUUAGCUAUUCCAGUGUUUUGUCUUCUAGUUCCCUUAUAAUUUCCAAAAGUUUUUGUUGUUGUAGGAUUUUUGUUUUUGUUUGGAGACAGUUUCUAUGUAUUCCUUACUUGCCUGGAACAUACUAUUUAGCAUAGGCUGGCCUCAAACCCCCAGAGAUCCACCUGCCUCUGCCUCCCAAGUGCUGGGAUUAAAGGUGAGUGCCCCCAUAUCCAGCUCUUUUGAAGUUCCUAGGUCAGUGAUUUGGUUGACUUAAUUUGUAUCUUCUUGAAGAUACAGUAGUAAAGCUGUUCCCUGUAUUCUCUCAGGUGGUAAUGCAAUUUCAGUGUUACUUAAGACUGUUACUAUGGUCACUUGAUUCAAAUGGUUCUAACAGGCUUCUUACGCUACAGAGUUAUUCCUCCAUUUCCUUUUUAAUUUACACCCACAUGUAGGAAUAUUUUUACCUCUUACAUCCAUAUUCCACCCUCACCAGAUUCAGAGUAUAGUUUUUUCAGUUUAUUAUUCAUUAUCAUGGUUUGAUGUUCAGAUUGUGUCUUUAGUGAAUUUCUAAGCCAUUGAUAUGUGAAUGAUUUUAUGUCAUGAUUAUUUCAUCAAACCACUUAAGUGUUAGUGUGUCUUGUAUAAACAGGUCUGGUUACUUCA